rnacentral:pre_miRNA from 1 species
UGUAAACAUCCUUGACUGGAAGCUGGUGUUGAUUUCUGGGGCUUUCAGUCGGAUGUUUGCA